GUCUCAUAUGGGAAUGAAUGUCUCCCAAGGCGUAGCCUAAACUGCUGAAAAGCUGAUGACUUCUGUGAUGAA
rnacentral:ncRNA from 2 species